GAAUGGCAGAGAGGCACCGGUAUUCCGGCAAAUCCCAUCUCUCCUGCCCCAGUUUCGGCGCGCAAGCCGUUCCCCUUCGUGAGUUCUCCCCAGCGUCCGAAUCGCAGACGGGUUGUGAGGCCGAGGUGGCGGAGGAAAGGAGACUGCCGUAAGGAUCGGUAUUCGAGAAUGCCUAGCUAAUAACCAUCGGGAUCUGGCCCCGACCUCUGGAUCUCAUUUCACCCAUCUGUCGCGUGUCGUCGUUCCCCGACCCCCUCCCCACCCGCCAGCUCUAGGUAAACCCAGGCCUUCUAUCUAAACUCUGUGGCUGCCUCUUCCCUCGUGCCCUCUCUCUCCUCCCACUUAUCCUUCAAAAUCGCGUUCAUAAAUCCCGUCAUCCCUGUAGCCAUCCUGAAUUGCCCUGGAAUUAGUUGGCUCCCAAUUGGGAGCCUGUAAGCCCGUUGGCUGCCUUCAUUAUUGCAAUUAUCAUACCUGUAUUGGAAUCUGUGACCCAUCUGGGUGGAGGUAUUUAGGACAGUGAUUUAAGAUCUUUGCAUUCCCCGAAGUCUAGCCCUGAGUAGGCAUCAAGUAUUUGCUAAAUGAAGGAAUGUCUGAACCAGUUGUUGAAAGCAGUAGCUCUACCACCUCAGUUAACAGAUUCUCCUGGAAGUGACCCUACUAACAAUUUCUAGUUUAUCAGAUUUGCUUCAGAAGCCAUGCUCAGAGUGCUUGAUUAAUAUGUGUUUUAAGCAAUAGGGGUGAAGAAAGCUUUCCUUAUUCAAAUUUAGGCUACUGAAAAGGAAAGCAGGAGGGACAGAGAAAAGAAACCACUGACACCAGAGAUUUAAUUGUCACACUUUUAUUAAGGAAACUUCCCCAUAAUAAGUGAAGAGGUAGUUCAUAGUAUGUCUAACAUACAACAGAUUUAGAACAGCUAUUCACCAGCUGAAAUAAAAUAUUCUGGUUUGUUUGUUUAGGACAGUAUUUUAGAAGUGGUGACAUUGGUCACCCUCCAUUUAUAGAUCUUCUAAUAAAGAAACUAAAACAAAACCACAUCUGAUUUACCUCAGAGCCACUUCAGUUUGGAGUUUGUCUUUAAAAUUAAAUAAUAAAUAAAUAACGGUGACACACAGUAAUUUUUUAAAAACCAAACUAUGGUAAAGAGAGUCCUUUUUAAUUAAUCUGGGGAUCCAUAAAAUAUAAAUGCAGAAUGACUAAGGUUUUAAAAAAUCUUCGUCCUCUAUAAGAAUACAACUAGUUUUGAAAGUCAUCUUCCCUUAUAAAAUGUAUUUGAUAUCAGAAGUUGACCACUUUGCAAUACAAUCUAAGAAACAUAUAUAAACAAAGGAGAAAAGUCAAGUCCCACCAAAACUAAGAAAAUGUCUCA